rnacentral:rRNA from 1 species
UCGGGAAUUUUGGGCAAUGGGGGAAACCCUGACCCAGCAACGCCGCGUGAAGGAUGAAGUAUUUCGGUAUGUAAACUUCGAAAGAAUAGGAAGAAUAAAUGACGGUACUAUUUAUAAGGUCCGGCUAACUACGUGCCAGCAGCCGCGGUAAUACGUAGGGACCAAGCGUUGUUCGGAUUUACUGGGCGUAAAGGGCGCGUAGGCGGCAUGACAAGUCACUUGUGAAAUCUCUGGGCUUAACCCAGAACGGCCAAGUGAUACUGUCGCGCUAGAGUGCAGAAGGGGCAAUCGGAAUUCUUGGUGUAGCGGUGAAAUGCGUAGAUAUCAAGAGGAACACCUGAGGUGAAGACGGGUUGCUGGGCUGACACUGACGCUGAGGCACGAAAGCGUGGGGAGCAAACAGGAUUAGAUACCCGAGUAGUCCCUGAGCGGGCUGGCAAGGCGCAU